CACGUAGGGGGCUAGCGUUGCUCGGAAUUACUGGGCGUAAAGCGCACGUAGGCGGCUUCUUAAGUCGGUGGUGAAAUCCUGGAGCUCAACUCCAGAACUGCCUUCGAUACUGGGAAGCUCGAGUCCGGGAGAGGUGAGUGGAACUGCGAGUGUAGAGGUGAAAUUCGUAGAUAUUCGCAAGAACACCAGUGGCGAAGGCGGCUCACUGGCCCGAUACUGACGCUGAGGCACGAAAGCGUGGGGAGCAAACAGG
rnacentral:rRNA from 1 species